rnacentral:rRNA from 1 species
GUCGAACGAGAGACCUUCGGGUCUCUAGUGGCGAACGGGUGAGUAACACGUUUGGAACCUGCCCGCGCACCGGGAAUACGCUCUGGAAACGGAGAACAAAUCCCGAUGUACAGGAAGGAGGCAUCUUCUUUCUGUGAAACAUCCUUUCGGGGAUGGGGUGCGGAUGGACCUGCGGUGCAUUAGUUUGUUGGCGGGGUAAAGGCCCACCAAGACGAUGAUGCAUAGCCGGCCUGAGAGGGCGGACGGCCACAUUGGGACUGAGACACGGCCCAGACUCCUGCGGGAGGCAGCAGUAGGGAAUUUUCGUCAAUGGGCGCAAGCCUGAACGAGCGAUGCCGCGUGAGUGAAGAAGGCCUUCGGGUCGUAAAGCUCUGUUGCGGGGGAAAAAAGGCAGCAUCAGGAAAUGGGUGCUGACUGAUGGUGCCCCGCCAGAAAGUCACGGCUAACUACGUGCCAGCAGCCGCGGUAAUACGUAGGUGGCGAGCGUUAUCCGGAAUGAUUGGGCGUAAAGGGUGCGCAGGCGGUCCUGCAAGUCUGGAGUGAAACGCAUGAGUUCAACUCAUGCAUGGCCUUGGAAACUGGAGGACUGGAGAGCAGGAGAGGGCGGUGGAACUCCAUGUGUAGCGGUAAAAUGCGUAGAUAUAUGGAAGAACACCAGUGGCGAAGGCGGCCGCCUGGCCUGUUGCUGACGCUGAGGCACGAAAGCGUGGGGAGCAAAUAGGAUUAGAUACCCUAGUAGUCCACGCCGUAAACGAUGAGG